rnacentral:rRNA from 1 species
UACGUAGGGUGCGAGCGUUAAUCGGAAUUACUGGGCGUAAAGCGUGCGCAGGCGGUUAUGUAAGACAGAUGUGAAAUCCCCGGGCUCAACCUGGGAACUGCAUUUGUGACUGCAUGGCUAGAGUACGGUAGAGGGGGAUGGAAUUCCGCGUGUAGCAGUGAAAUGCGUAGAUAUGCGGAGGAACACCGAUGGCGAAGGCAAUCCCCUGGACCUGUACUGACGCUCAUGCA